GCAAAAGGGCUGGGCGGGCAGGACUAACACAUGCAAGUCGAGCGCACUCUUCGGAGUGAGCGGCGGACGGGUUAGUAACGCGUGGGAACGUGCCCAGAUCUAAGGAAUAGCCACUGGAAACGGUGAGUAAUACCUUAUACGCCCUUCGGGGGAAAGAUUUAUCGGAUUUGGAUCGGCCCGCGUUAGAUUAGAUAGUUGGUGGGGUAACGGCCUACCAAGUCUACGAUCUAUAGCUGGUUUUAGAGGAUGAUCAGCAACACUGGGACUGAGACACGGCCCAGACUCCUACGGGAGGCAGCAGUGGGGAAUCUUAGACAAUGGACGCAAGUCUGAUCUAGCCAUGCCGCGUGUGUGAUGAAGGCCUUAGGGUCGUAAAGCACUUUCGCCUGUGAUGAUAAUGACAGUAGCAGGUAAAGAAACCCCGGCUAACUCCGUGCCAGCAGCCGCGGUAAUACGGAGGGGGUUAGCGUUGUUCGGAAUUACUGGGCGUAAAGCGCGCGUAGGCGGAUUAGUCAGUCAGAGGUGAAAUCCCGGGGCUCAACCCCGGAACUGCCUUUGAUACUGCUAGUCUUGAGUUCGAGAGAGGUGAGUGGAAUUCCGAGUGUAGAGGUGAAAUUCGUAGAUAUUCGGAGGAACACCAGUGGCGAAGGCGGCUCACUGGCUCGAUACUGACGCUGAGGUGCGAAAGUGUGGGGAGCAAACAGGAUUAGAUACCCUGGUAGUCCACACCGUAAACGAUGAAUGCCAGACGUCGGCAAGCAUGCUUGUCGGUGUCACACCUAACGGAUUAAGCAUUCCGCCUGGGGAGUACAGUCGCAAGAUUAAAACUCAAAUGAAUUGACGGAAGGGC
rnacentral:rRNA from 1 species